rnacentral:tRNA from 144 species
ACGACUGUAGCUCAGUUGGUUAGAGCACUACCUUGACAUGGUAGGGGUCGGUGGUUCGAAUCCACUCAGUCGUACCA